rnacentral:rRNA from 1 species
UACGUAGGGUGCAAGCGUUAAUCGGAAUUACUGGGUGUAAAGCGUGCGCAGGUGGUUUUGCAAGAUAGAUGUGAAAUCUUUGGGUUUAAUUUGGGAAUUGUAUUUGUGACUGCAUGGUUAGAGUGCGGUAGAGGGGGAUGGAAUUCUGUGUGUAGCAGUGAAAUGCGUAGAUAUGCGGAGGAACACUGAUGGCGAAGGCAAUCCCCUGGGCCUGCACUGACGCUCAUGCACGAAAGCGUGGGGAGCAAACAGG